rnacentral:rRNA from 1 species
GAUGAACGCUAGCGGCAGGCCUAACACAUGCAAGUCGAGGGGCAUCAUGGCGUAGCAAUACGCUGAUGGCGACCGGCGCACGGGUGCGUAACGCGUAUGGAACCUACCCACCGCAGGGGGAUAACCCGCCGAAAGGCGGACUAAUACCCCAUGGUUCCCCGACCCUGCCUGGGGUUGGGGGUAAAGCCUACGGGCGGCGGUGGAUGGCCCUGCGUGCCAUUAGCUGGCUGGUGGGGUAACGGCCCACCAGGGCGACGAUGGCUAGGGGGUCUGAGAGGACGACCAGCCACACUGGAACUGAGACACGGUCCAGACUCCUACGGGAGGCAGCAGUGGGGAAUUUUGGACAAUGGGCGCAAGCCUGAUCCAGCCAUUCCGCGUGCAGGAUGAAGGCCUUCGGGUUGUAAACUGCUUUUGUACGGAACGAAACGGUCUGCCCUAAUACGGCGGGCUAAUGACGGUACCGUAAGAAUAAGCACCGGCUAACUACGUG